UACGGAGGAUGCGAGCGUUAUCCGGAUUUAUUGGGUUUAAAGGGUGCGCAGGCGGAAUGUCAAGUCAGCGGUAAAAUUUCGGGGCUCAACCCCGGCCCGCCGUUGAAACUGGCUGGCUUGAGUUGGGGAAAGGCAGGCGGAAUGCGCGGUGUAGCGGUGAAAUGCAUAGAUAUCGCGCAGAACCCCGAUUGCGAAGGCAGCCUGCCGGCCCCACACUGACGCUGAGGCACGAAAGCGUGGGUAUCGAACAGG
rnacentral:rRNA from 1 species